rnacentral:rRNA from 1 species
AGUGAACGCUGGCGGUAGGCCUAACACAUGCAAGUCGAACGGCAGCACAGUAAGAGCUUGCUCUUACGGGUGGCGAGUGGCGGACGGGUGAGGAAUACAUCGGAAUCUACUUUUUCGUGGGGGAUAACGUAGGGAAACUUACGCUAAUACCGCAUACGACCUACGGGUGAAAGCAGGGGAUCUUCGGACCUUGCGCGAUUGAAUGAGCCGAUGUCGGAUUAGCUAGUUGGCGGGGUAAAGGCCCACCAAGGCGACGAUCCGUAGCUGGUCUGAGAGGAUGAUCAGCCACACUGGAACUGAGACACGGUCCAGACUCCGACGGGAGGCAGCAGUGGGGAAUAUUGGACAAUGGGCGCAAGCCUGAUCCAGCCAUACCGCGUGGGUGAAGAAGGCCUGCGGGUUGUAAAGCCCUUUUGUUGGGAAAGAAAAGCAGCAGGUUAAGACCCCGCUGUUCUGACGGUACCCAAAGAAUAAGCACCGGCUAACUUCGU